rnacentral:rRNA from 1 species
UACGUAGGUGGCAAGCGUUAUCCGGAAUUAUUGGGCGUAAAGCGCGCGCAGGUGGUUUCUUAAGUCUGAUGUGAAAGCCCACGGCUCAACCGUGGAGGGUCAUUGGAAACUGGGAGACUUGAGUGCAGAAGAGGAAAGUGGAAUUCCAUGUGUAGCGGUGAAAUGCGUAGAGAUAUGGAGGAACACCAGUGGCGAAGGCGCCUUUCUGGUCUGUAACUGACACUGAGGCGCGAAAGCGUGGGGAGCAAAUAGG